GGGCGGCCGGCGGCCCGGGAGCCCGUGGGAGCCGCGUGCCCCCCCCCCCCCCCCUUCCCCCCCCCCCCUGCCCCCCCCCCCCCCCCCCCCCCUCCCUCCUCCUCAGGGGACGCCCGGGGUGGAUGGAGGGGCGCCGCUGCCGGGGCCGCUGCCGGGGUCGGGGUCCGGGCUUGUAGCCGCCACGGCUCCAGGCCGGCCGGGCGAGCCGAAGCUGCCGUCACCGCCGCCGCCGCCGCCGCCGCGCUCCAGGAGUUCCGGGUCCUCAUGCUACCCCCUGGUCGUUCAGAGACACACCUGGACUGGUGACUCCCAAGAUUCCGAGAGUGACGCCAUGGACAAUCCGGGCUUUCGGAGAGGGAGCUUCAACAGCUUCCGCAGCAGCAGCAGUGAUGAAGAUAUGGUGGAGAUUUCGGGGACCACCUUGGACUUCUCCAUGACAGAUGACGUCCCUCCGCUUGACAGAGACCUGGGAG
rnacentral:lncRNA from 1 species